rnacentral:rRNA from 1 species
UACAGAGGGUGCGAGCGUUGUCCGGAAUCACUGGGCGUAAAGGCGCGUAGGCGGCUCAGUAAGGUUGCGGUGAAAGCCCGGGGCUCAACCCCGGGUCGGCCGUGGCAACUGCUGGGCUGGAGCACUGUAGAGGCAGGUGGAAUUCCGGGUGUAGCGGUGGAAUGCGUAGAGAUCCGGAAGAACACCGGUGGCGAAGGCGGCCUGCUGGGCAGUAGCUGACGCUGAGGCGCGACAGCCAGGGGAGCGAACGGG